GAUCAUGGCUCAGGAUGAACGCUGGCGGCGUGCUUAACACAUGCAAGUCGAACGAGAAAUGGAGACAGAAACCUUCGGGCGGAAGCCUUCAUUUCGAGUGGCGGACGGGUGAGUAACGCGUGGGUAACCUGCCUCAUACAGGGGGAUAACAGUUGGAAACGACUGUUAAUACCGCAUAAGACCACAGCACCGCAUGGUGCGGGGGUAAAAACUCCGGUGGUAUGAGAUGGACCCGCGUUCGAUUAGCCAG
rnacentral:rRNA from 1 species